rnacentral:piRNA from 1 species
UACGUUGUUAAUGUGAAAUGUGAAUGUUGGC